rnacentral:rRNA from 1 species
AGUGGGGAAUCUUGGACAAUGGGCGCAAGCCUGAUCCAGCCAUGCCGCGUGAGUGAUGAAGGCCCUAGGGUCGUAAAGCUCUUUCGCCAGGGAUGAUAAUGACAGUACCUGGUAAAGAAACCCCGGCUAACUCCGUGCCAGCAGCCGCGGUAAUACGGAGGGGGUUAGCGUUGUUCGGAAUUACUGGGCGUAAAGCGCGCGUAGGCGGACUAUUAAGUCAGAGGUGAAAUCCCGGGGCUCAACCCCGGAACUGCCUUUGAUACUGGUAGUCUUGAGUUCGAGAGAGGUGAGUGGAAUUCCGAGUGUAGAGGUGAAAUUCGUAGAUAUUCGGAGGAACACCAGUGGCGAAGGCGGCUCACUGGCUCGAUACUGACGCUGAGGUGCGAAAGUGUGGGGAGCAAA